AAACCAUGGUGAGGACACUCCAAGAGGAGGUCUUUAAAGCGUUCCAUGCAUCGAGAAAAUGAUUCAUUGGAUCGUUGGUGAAACUAGAGAAUGUCGUUCCUAAGUUU
rnacentral:snoRNA from 1 species